CUCUGUUUUUUUCAGCGGCGCACGACAAAGCAGAAACAGGAAGCCUGAAGAAGCUUGAGGGUAACCGGAUGCAAGGACUCUCAGAGUGACUGCAAGUCUCUCUUGUAAACUUACUGGUUUAAGAUGAGUUCUUUUAUGGCAGGGGUGUCAAACUCAUUUUCACUAAGGGCCACACUGGAAAA